rnacentral:tRNA from 1 species
GGGGAUGUAGCUCAGAUGGUAGAGCGCUCGCUUAGCAUGCGAGAGGUACGGGGUUCGAUACCUUUUUUCG